rnacentral:rRNA from 1 species
AAGACCUUGCGCUUUUGGAGCGGCCGAUGUCUGAUUAGCUUGUUGGUGAGGUAAAGGCUUACCAAGGCUUUGAUCAGUAGCUGGUCUGAGAGGACGGCCAGCCACACUGGGACUGAGACACGGCCCAGACUCCUACGGGAGGCAGCAGUGGGGAAUUUUGGACAAUGGGGGCAACCCUGAUCCAGCCAUGCCGCGUGAGUGAAGAAGGCCUUCGGGUUGUAAAGCUCUUUCGGCCGGAACGAAAUCGCAUCUCCUAAUACGGGGUGUGGAUGACGGUACCGGAAGAAGAAGCACCGGCUAACUACGUGCCAGCAGCCGCGGUAAUACGUAGGGUGCGAGCGUUAAUCGGAAUUACUGGGCGUAAAGCGUGCGCAGGCGGCUCUUCAAGUCAGAUGUGAAAGCCCCGGGCUUAACCUGGGAACU